GGGGUAAUAGUUAAUUAUAACAUUUAAUUUGCAAUUAAAAAUUAUUCUAAUAUGAAUUUUCCUCA
rnacentral:tRNA from 3 species